GCCUAAGCACCAGCCUGCUUUCUGGACAGCACUGCAGCAGUGGGAAGGGUUAUAUACGCCAGGGCUCUGGAGAGCAGGGGCCAGGAGUUAGCUGGAGGGAGGAUGUGCAGGUUGCAGGCCUCUUGCCCAGUCGCCCCACUACCCGUAGAAAGCCUUAUGUGAAGAUGCAGAGAAGAAAGGAGAACUAGACAAUCACAAAACUUCAUCAGAUGGUAGCCACAUACAAGGGGGAGGGUUUCUGUGGACUAAAACUCUUGUUCCCUCCAAUUUGUAUUUGUUCCUGCACUGAUCAAGCCUGCCCUGCACUCUUCCUUUGGCCCCUGCACUCCAGCUGACGAAUAAGGUCCACACAUCUUACCAGGGUUGCGUGGGAGCCCCAGAUCCCUGUGGUUGGACCACUGACGGUGGCACCAUUCACUGGUCCUUUUCUCUGCCUCUGCCCAACAUUCCCAAGGGCCUGUGGUUCCAGUAUCCUUUGGAGAACCGUCUUUGCACA
rnacentral:lncRNA from 1 species